UUUUUCUUUUCUCUUCCUUAGAAUAUUGUUGCUGGUGAGAAAGUUUUGUAUAGUCUUUAUGGGAUAGUAGAACACAGUGGCUCAAUGCGUGGUGGCCAUUACACAGCAUAUGUAAAAAUCAGGGCACCACCAAAAAAACAGGAUUACAGAAAGCAUGUUAUGGGUCUAAAAGAAGCAACUGGAGGAUUACCAGGUCAAUGGGUCUAUGUCAGUGACACACAUGUACAAGCUGUUCCUGAAUCAAGAGUACUCAAUUCUCAGGCCUAUCUGCUUUUUUAUGAAGAAUUAUUAUAGUUAAUGGGCUUUAGCCUGGGACAAGUGACUUUUACAAAAGCAAUAUGAUAUUGUGUUUAUGUGAGGGGGGAAAGCAAUGUCAAAACAGAUUACUUCUUAGUACAGCUGAUUAUGAUACAUUUAAAGUACUGCCUCAGCAUGUUCGCUCUUUAAUAAUGAAAAUGAUGAUAAUUCAAGCAUAAUCAAAUCUGUUUAUAUAGUACAUAUUUUUUUCUCUGAUAGGUUAAGAACAUUUUUUGUUGCAUGAUUGUAAACGCCCAUUCUAGAGCAAAUAAAUAUUUUUGAAACAGCAAUUGAUACACAUACACAAAAAUUAAAAAACUAUGUCAAUUUAAAAUCAAUGGAUGAAAAUAGGAUAUGAUCUUAUUUUUUUCUCCCUGCCAAAAUGUAUACUGUUUUGAUAUAAUGUUUAUACUGAUAAAUUUGUAAUCAAAAGCCAUUAGUAUGUUUUAUUUCUUGCGCUGUAUUUGAUAAAUUGUACUACUCAAUACAAAUGCAUAACAGGUCCUGUGCAGUAGCUGGCAUACACUGAUUUAUUUGCACAUUCAGUAUUAGGUAGUGUUUCAAUUGGAUAUUGCUGAAGAAACUCUUUUUUCUCAAAAACAGCUGAACAUAUUGCACUUUAAAUUUUAAAUUUAGUUGCAAAGCUCCAAAUAUAUUUUUUUCAUUUUGUACUUCAAAAAUGCAGUGUACAGUAUAUCCUACCAGGAGCAGAUGAGGAAAACAUGCAGAUGUUCUUAUUGUAAUUUUGAGGGAAAGAAAAUACUGAUGUUCACUUGCAAUAAUCCAUAUUUUGGCAUAAUUAUGUGGCAGAUGUGUUAUUUUUUUAACUUUAUUUUCAUAAAAAGUAAAUAGGAAUGUAAUGGGUGUGUUGUAAUUUUAUUUUACUGUAUUUCUUAUGAUGAACAAAGGUUGUUCAUUUAUAAGGUUUUGUUGCUAUUAGUCAUAAUUUUUUUUUUCUUACAGUUGCAUUUGCACUUUCAAUGUAAAGAAUAAUGAUUGUUAAAAAUUUAGUGGAAUGCCAUUCAUAUAUCUUAAAAAGAUAUCUAUGUAACAGAAAAUAUUAAUAAACCACAGAAUGGCUUAAAGGUUUUAUGUUAUACUGCUUGUAAAAAUAAUAACAUCUCUACAUGUCCCAUUUAACAAUGGAAAGUUUAAUGUUAAAAGAAAACAAACAGUGGUUUUCUGUAUAGAAAUACUACUUCUGUGUAUGGGUGAAAGUACACUUUGUUUCUAUAUAUCUCUCUCGGCUCUUGUCCAGUGUCUGCAUUUUUGUGGUAACUCACAUUAUACACCUUUCAUUAAAGAUUUACAGUCUCUUAUCGAUCCACCAUUGAACAAACACUUAUUGACAUUUUCUUUUACUGUAUCUCAAAAAAGCUAUAUUCUCAGGUUUAAAAUGUAUGUUUCUUGUUUCAGAACUAAGUUAACAUUUAUAUUGAAACCACAAAAUCAAGCAGUGUGCUAUCACUGAAUUUCUAACAUUACAGCACAGUAUUCCUUUCGGAGAUUCAUUGUCAUCUAGUGAACCUCAACCAAGACCAGUCUUGUCAUAUGCCACAGUCUAGAGAUGCGUUGCUUAAUUCCACCAUGAUGGCAUAUCUUUUGAAAAUAACCUAUGGUAUGGCUAGCAUUUAACAAUGAUUACAAAAGAAAAUACUCCUACCAUAGAGCGAAUUAUAAUUAAGAAUCGAAUAAUGAUAAUAUGUGAGAUAGCAGGCAAUACACAUAUCAGUUAUAGGUCAGCUGGACCUAUUCGUCAUGAAAAAUGAAACAUAAGCAACGUCUGUGCAUGUUGUGUGCUCCCAGUGCUGAAUCCUAAAAUGAAACAUUAGAUAUGUUGAAGAUUCAAUGAAAAUUUUGACAUAAUAAAAUCCUGACUGGGAUUAAAAAAAUAAGCUGAGUUUUUCAAGUUGAAGUUAUUUUUUCACAAUAAUAUAUUAAUUUGCCACAUAAAGUUGUUUUCUAAAGUGCCUUUUUUAACAUUUUAAAAAUACUUUUUUCUUGCUGAUUGCAAUAGAGUUCAGCAUUCAUAUGUGAUAGAAAAAGCCUUAAAACUUACCAAAUACGUCCACUUUGAAGCAGCAAAGGUUUUAAUUUAUGAAAAUAUGUCUUCUGUGUUUAUGAGGCACUCUUGUAAUAACAGAGGGAAACUUGAAAUAAUUAUACUAUGAUAGAUCCUUGUCCUAUUUUCUCCUUUUCCGAUUUUUGUGUUUGCAGUGACCAUGGAGUUAUGACAACCCAACGCCGAACCACCCAUUAAAAUUCUUGUUGUUAGUUAACAUCAGCAACGAAGCCAGAUGCACACUGCAUAAGAGUGUAGUGAAAAGAGCACAUAGGAGUUUUUAGUACUUUGUACACAUAACACACCUGAACUGAUUACAUGGUAUUUAUUGUAUAUUUAAUAAAAGCCUUAGAUGUUUUAAAGA